AGUUUUGCUCUCCGUAAUGUCAGGUUUGGAGUGGGUCCCAUAACACUUUUAUUUUCAUUAAUUAUUAUCUGUUGUUCAUGUAAAUGCUGGAGCUGAAAAGUCAGAGUGAGGAGGAGCCCAUCAUCCAUAGGAAAAAGGAGGAAGGAUGUCCCUGCGCAGGAGCUAUGGAGGGAUGAGAGGAAGCAAAAGCAGGCAGUCCUUGACCCAGGAGGAAGACUUCUGUGGAAUUAGCCCCUGUUUGCACGAGAAGGCCUUGAAGAAUUUUAGAAGCUGUCAUUCUGUGUGUGGGAGUGGCAAGAUCCUAUCUUCAUCAAAGAGGAGAUCCAGCCCUACACAAAUUUCCGAUGUACUUUUUUAGAAUACAGAGCACAUCCUGAAUUUUGAGGUCAAGUCACCUACACUCCAGGAUGUACCUACAUGCACCCCAAUAGGGAAAUCUGAACAUGUUUCUUUUUCACUAAAACUAUGUGUACAAAUAUGAGCUAUUUAUGUGAAGAAAAUGUUCUCACUCUAGGUCUACAGUGUCUACCCCAAGCGGACAUGGUUAUUUAAAAAGCCCAUAAACUCUUAAUUUCAUGGUGUUGGGGCAGCAUUGUGAAUGAAACUGAGCUAUGAAUUCGUCCCAAUAACUCUCAAAGGCCUAUUCAAUGAAGGUGUGCAUGACAGCAUGAAAAUGUCCUUUGUACCUGUUUUUUCACGUUGUGUCCGAAGCCUUCAUAGAAAAUUUUUAACCACACAUCACAAACUGAUCUUCUCUUUCACUCUAUGCUAGAAAGGAAAGCUUCCCGCCCCACCCCACCCCCCCGUAUGAUAUUUUCUGCAAAAUUAAUGCAAAGCCCAAUUCUUUCCAAAAAAUAAGCUCUAGAGGCACAGGUGUGAAGAAGUCAUCUUGCUCUUGAAGUUGCACUCAAAAAAUAGAAUUGUCAACACAGCUGCUAGAUAAGUCCUCAUAGAAAAGGUUUUCAGAAUCACGGCCAAGAAAACAGACCUACUAAAUAUACAAAAUAAUGAAAUACAACCAGCUUUCUUUCCUCUGUAUUUUUUAGAGACAGAAGGUAAAAAAAAAAAUGAUCUAAGAUUCCAUAUGCUCCGUUAUGCAUAAUAUAGGAGGAUUAGGCUCCCAUAAAAAAAGGUUUAUAAGUGGUAAUCAGUAAUAUCAUAUUAAUUAUAAGCAAUAGUGGUUGCUCUUGAAAUCUGCAGGCUAUGCUAUUUUGGGCAAAUAGCGGAAUUUUAUUCUAGCUGUUCAUUUUAUGAAACCUUUUGUGACCAAAUUCCAGAAGUUUAUGACUAUAUUAUAAAUAUUGUAGCAACUGAAUGGGUAAAUGAAAAUGCCUGGCCUUUGUAGCAACAGUACUCAAAUGCUGGACAGAACCAUUGCUCCUUUUAGGUGAUGACUACAGAAAAUGAUUCAGAGUUGUUGGUCAUAAUAAUAUAUAUUUGUGUAUAUGUAUGUUUACUUAUGUACCUUUCUUUUUCCCCCAGGUGGUGUCACUUAAUCUGCCCAUUUUUAUUACAAAUAAUGGACCAUAUGGCAUUCUCUAUUACAUAAAAUGCCAGCAGUUAGUUUAUCUUUAAAAAAUGCCAGUUCCAAAAAGGGGAAGAUUUAAAUGUUUUUUAAAAUCAUAACUUAUCUUUAUAAUAAAACAACAAAACCAUCAGUGUACACAUAUAGACAAACUCUAUUAUUACGCUCAAUUUCACUGAAGUCCAAAACAUUUUUAAAGCUUGAGUAAAUGUUGGCAAAGUUCCAAAACAAAGUAUUUAUAUAUCAGAGCAGGUCUUAAACUGACCAUAGAAUGCCAUUUUAAAUAUUGUGCGCUGCUUCUUUUUCACUCUUACGAUGCUCUUCUCCUAAGUGGCCGGCCUCUGGCUCAGACAGAUUUUGACUAGAUUUUGCAGUAAUAAAAUACAUUUUUCAGAAAUAAAAAGAUAUACGAAAUC
ensembl:lncRNA